CCAACACUAUCACCAGCACCAACAGCAGCUCCAGCACCAGCAACAGAAGACCCAUCACCAGCUCCAGGUCCAUCAUCAGCAUCAGCAACAGAGGCCCUGGGCCACUCUGUCAUUCCAAAAGGACUUGUGGAGCGCUGCUCCUUCCAAAGCCCCCAGAAGUUCAUAAAUGAUCUCCUACAUGGGAUGUAUACCAGGGAAUAUAUGGCAGGCCAUUCAGUGACUGGCCAGUCAUCCAGCAGCUGCACAGAAGGAAAACCUGGCCUAGCCAAACAGGACCUUGUUGAAAUAACAAAUGCUGCAAAGUUGAAGUUCACCUACGUAACUGAUACGAACAUAAAAGCAUUUAUACGACAAAAGCUGAACAAUGCUGCCAAAUUUCAGAAACAAUA